rnacentral:rRNA from 1 species
AUGAAAAGAAGGGGGUGGAAAGGGAAUCCUAAAUGCUCAUUUUGUGGGGAGCGAGAAACAUCCCAGCACCUCUUUUUUGCUUGCCCGGUAGCUGAGGUGACCUGGAGAACUAUUGCGUGCAUGCUUGGCACUGAUUUGUGUCCAAACAAUUUUUGGCAGGCUUAUUCCUGAUGUUAUGUCUACUUCCCAAAUGGGGAGGUCUUUUAUACAGUUGGCAUAGCUGCGAUGUGCUGGGCUAUCUGGACCUGCCGCAGUAGUGCUACGUUUGAAUCUAAGCAUCUGAAAACUCCCUUUGAAUGUUGUUCCUCUAUGUGCGCUCUUCUAUGUUAUUGGGCAGGUUUGCUGAAGCGGGAAGAUGCGGUGGAUCUGCGAGCGGGGGUAGACAUGCUGAAGAAGAGUGCGUCGGGGAUGAUGCGCAUCUGUGCUGCGACCAAAGAAUGA